rnacentral:rRNA from 1 species
AGUGAACGCUGGCGGUAGGCCUAACACAUGCAAGUCGAACGGCAGCACAGGAGAGCUUGCUCUCUGGGUGGCGAGUGGCGGACGGGUGAGGAAUACAUCGGAAUCUACUCUGUCGUGGGGGAUAACGUAGGGAAACUUACGCUAAUACCGCAUACGACCUACGGGUGAAAGCAGGGGACCUUCGGGCCUUGCGCGAUUGAAUGAGCCGAUGUCGGAUUAGCAAGUUGGCGGGGUAAAGGCCCACCAAGGGGACGAGCCGUUGCUGGUCUGAGAGGAUGAUCAGCCACACUGGAACUGAGACACGGUCCAGACUCCUACGGGAGGCAGCAGUGGGGAAUAUUGGACAAUGGGCGCAAGCCUGAUCCAGCCAUACCGCGUGGGUGAAGAAGGCCUUCGGGUUGUAAAGCCCUUUUGUUGGGAAAGAAAUCCAGCUGGCUAAUACCCGGUUGGGAUGACGGUACCCAAAGAAUAAGCACCGGCUAACUUCGUGCCAGCAGCCGCCGUAA